rnacentral:rRNA from 1 species
AUGGCUGUCUUUCAUGCUUUUUACCAGCUCGCCGGGGGCGAUUUUGCGGUCUUAAACAAAGCUAUGAUCGUCCUGCUGCCAAAAGAGGAUGGCGCAACCAAACUGUCCGACUUCCGCCCAAUCAACCUAAUCUAUUCAGUGGCCAAGCUGAUCGCCAACGUCCUCUCGAUCAGGCUAAUGGGUGUGCUAGACCAGCUCAUAUCCCCGGCCCAGAGCGCUUUUCAGAAGAAGAAGGGCAUCCAUGACAGUUUUCUUUAUGUUCAGAAUGUUCUACGGUUGUUUCAGAGGAGAAAGUCGUCGCUGCUCCUACUCAAGAUCGACAUUGCCAAGGCUUUUGACACGGUUUCAUGGGAAUAUAUCCUCGAGCUGUUG